CAAGUCGAACGAUGAACCACUUCGGUGGGGAUUAGUGGCGAACGGGUGAGUAACACGUGGGCAAUCUGCCCUGCACUCUGGGACAAGCCCUGGAAACGGGGUCUAAUACCGGAUACUGACCCUCACGGGCAUCUGUGAGGUUCGAAAGCUCCGGCGGUGCAGGAUGAGCCCGCGGCCUAUCAGCUUGUUGGUGAGGUAAUGGCUCACCAAGGCGACGACGGGUAGCCGGCCUGAGAGGGCGACCGGCCACACUGGGACUGAGACACGGCCCAGACUCCUACGGGAGGCAGCAGUGGGGAAUAUUGCACAAUGGGCGAAAGCCUGAUGCAGCGACGCCGCGUGAGGGAUGACGGCCUUCGGGUUGUAAACCUCUUUCAGCAGGGAAGAAGCGAAAGUGACGGUACCUGCAGAAGAAGCGCCGGCUAACUACGUGCCAGCAGCGGG
rnacentral:rRNA from 1 species